UACGAAGGUCCCAAGCGUUGUUCGGAAUCACUGGGCGUAAAGGGAGCUUAGGCGGCGUGGUAAGUCAGAUGUGAAAUCCCGGGGCUCAACCCCGGAACUGCAUCCGAUACUGCCAUGCUUGAGGGUUGGAGAGGUAGCUGGAAUUCUCGGUGUAGCAGUGAAAUGCGUGGAUAUCGAGAGGAACACUCGUGGCGAAGGCGAGCUACUGGACAACAUCUGACGCUGAGGCUCGAAGGCCAGGGGAGCAAAAGGG
rnacentral:rRNA from 1 species